rnacentral:rRNA from 7 species
AAAUUGAAGAGUUUGAUCAUGGCUCAGAUUGAACGCUGGCGGCAGGCCUAACACAUGCAAGUCGAACGGUAACAGGAAGCAGCUUGCUGCUUUGCUGACGAGUGGCGGACGGGUGAGUAAUGUCUGGGAAACUGCCUGAUGGAGGGGGAUAACUACUGGAAACGGUGGCUAAUACCGCAUAACGUCGCAAGACCAAAGAGGGGGACCUUCGGGCCUCUUGCCAUCAGAUGUGCCCAGAUGGGAUUAGCUUGUUGGUGAGGUAACGGCUCACCAAGGCGACGAUCCCUAGCUGGUCUGAGAGGAUGACCAGCCACACUGGAACUGAGACACGGUCCAGACUCCUACGGGAGGCAGCAGUGGGGAAUAUUGCACAAUGGGCGCAAGCCUGAUGCAGCCAUGCCGCGUGUAUGAAGAAGGCCUUCGGGUUGUAAAGUACUUUCAGCGGGGAGGAAGGUGUUGUGGUUAAUAACCGCAGCAAUUGACGUUACCCGCAGAAGAAGCACCGGCUAACUCCGUGCCAGCAGCCGCGGUAAUACGGAGGGUGCAAGCGUUAAUCGGAAUUACUGGGCGUAAAGCGCACGCAGGCGGUCUGUCAAGUCGGAUGUGAAAUCCCCGGGCUCAACCUGGGAACUGCAUUCGAAACUGGCAGGCUUGAGUCUUGUAGAGGGGGGUAGAAUUCCAGGUGUAGCGGUGAAAUGCGUAGAGAUCUGGAGGAAUACCGGUGGCGAAGGCGGCCCCCUGGACAAAGACUGACGCUCAGGUGCGAAAGCGUGGGGAGCAAACAGGAUUAGAUACCCUGGUAGUCCACGCCGUAAACGAUGUCUACUUGGAGGUUGUGCCCUUGAGGCGUGGCUUCCGGAGCUAACGCGUUAAGUAGACCGCCUGGGGAGUACGGCCGCAAGGUUAAAACUCAAAUGAAUUGACGGGGGCCCGCACAAGCGGUGGAGCAUGUGGUUUAAUUCGAUGCAACGCGAAGAACCUUACCUGGUCUUGACAUCCACAGAACUUUCCAGAGAUGGAUUGGUGCCUUCGGGAACUGUGAGACAGGUGCUGCAUGGCUGUCGUCAGCUCGUGUUGUGAAAUGUUGGGUUAAGUCCCGCAACGAGCGCAACCCUUAUCCUUUGUUGCCAGCGGUCCGGCCGGGAACUCAAAGGAGACUGCCAGUGAUAAACUGGAGGAAGGUGGGGAUGACGUCAAGUCAUCAUGGCCCUUACGACCAGGGCUACACACGUGCUACAAUGGCGCAUACAAAGAGAAGCGACCUCGCGAGAGCAAGCGGACCUCAUAAAGUGCGUCGUAGUCCGGAUUGGAGUCUGCAACUCGACUCCAUGAAGUCGGAAUCGCUAGUAAUCGUGGAUCAGAAUGCCACGGUGAAUACGUUCCCGGGCCUUGUACACACCGCCCGUCACACCAUGGGAGUGGGUUGCAAAAGAAGUAGGUAGCUUAACCUUCGGGAGGGCGCUUACCACUUUGUGAUUCAUGACUGGGGUGAAGUCGUAACAAGGUAACCGUAGGGGAACCUGCGGUUGGAUCACCUCCUUACCU